rnacentral:rRNA from 1 species
UACGUAGGUGGCAAGCGUUGUCCGGAUUUAUUGGGUUUAAAGGGUGCGUAGGCGGCCCUGUAAGUCAGCGGUGAAAUACGGCAGCUCAACUGUCGAGGUGCCGUUGAUACUGCGGGGCUUGAGUGUUGAUGAGGCAGGCGGAAUUGACGGUGUAGCGGUGAAAUGCUUAGAUAUCGUCAAGAACACCGAUAGCGAAGGCAGCCUGCCAAGCAACAACUGACGCUGUGGCACGAAAGUGCGGGGAUCAAACAGG